rnacentral:rRNA from 1 species
UACGUAGGGGGUAAGCGUUGUCCGGAUUUAUUGGGCGUAAAGAGCGUGUAGGCGGCCAGACAGGUCCGUUGUGAAAACUCGAGGCUCAACCUCGAGACGCCGAUGGAAACCGUUUGGCUAGAGUCCGGAAGAGGAGAGUGGAAUUCCUGGUGUAGCGGUGAAAUGCGCAGAUAUCAGGAAGAACACCCGUGGCGAAGGCGGCUCUCUGGGACGGUACUGACGCUGAGACGCGAAAGCGUGGGGAGCGAACAGG